rnacentral:rRNA from 1 species
GGAGCUAACGCGUUAAGUCGACCGCUGGGGAGUACGUCCGCAAGAUUAAAACUCAAAUGAAUUGACGGGGGCCCGCACAAGCGGUGGAGCAUGUGGUUUAAUUCGAUGCAACGCGAAGAACCUUACCUGGUCUUGACAUCCACGGAAGUUUUCAGAGAUGAGAAUGUGCCUUCGGGAACCGUGAGACAGGUGCUGCAUGGCUGUCGUCAGCUCGUGUUGUGAAAUGUUGGGUUAAGUCCCGCAACGAGCGCAACCCUUAUCCUUUGUUGCCAGCGGUCCGGCCGGGAACUCAAAGGAGACUGCCAGUGAUAAACUGGAGGAAGGUGGGGAUGACGUCAAGUCAUCAUGGCCCUUACGACCAGGGCUACACACGUGCUACAAUGGCGCAUACAAAGAGAAGCGACCUCGCGAGAGCAAGCGGACCUCAUAAAGUGCGUCGUAGUCCGGAUUGGAGUCUGCAACUCGACUCCAUGAAGUCGGAAUCGCUAGUAAUCGUGGAUCAGAAUGCCACGGUGAAUACGUUCCCGGGCCUUGCACUCACCGCCCGUC